GACGAACGCUGGCGGCGUGCUUAACACAUGCAAGUCGAACGGUGAAGCGCUUGCCUUUUUGGUGGGUGUGGAUGAGUGGCGAACGGGUGAGUAACACGUGAGUAACCUGCCCUCUUCUUCUGGAUAACCUCAUGAAAGUGGGGCUAAUACGGGGUAUUCCGGGUCUGUCGCAUGGCGGGUUUGGGAAAGAUUGCGCCUUUGGGUGUUUUCGGUGGGGGAUGGGCUCGCGGCCUAUCAGCUUGUUGGUGGGGUGAUGGCCUACCAAGGCGGUGACGGGUAGCCGGCCUGAGAGGGUGGACGGCCACACUGGGACUGAGACACGGCCCAGACUCCUGCGGGAGGCAGCAGUGGGGAAUAUUGCACAAUGGGCGCAAGCCUGAUGCAGCGACGCCGCGUGAGGGAUGGAGGCCUUCGGGUGGGGAACCUCUUUCGCCAGUGAAGCAGGCCUGCUCCUGUGUGGGUGGGUUGACGGUAGCUGGAUAAGAAGCGCCGGCUAACUACGUG
rnacentral:rRNA from 1 species